UACGUAGGGUGCAAGCGUUGUCCGGAAUUAUUGGGCGUAAAGGGCUCGUAGGCGGUCUGUCACGUCGGGAGUGAAAACUCAGGGCUUAACCCUGAGCCUGCUUCCGAUACGGGCAGACUAGAGGUAUGCAGGGGAGAACGGAAUUCCUGGUGUAGCGGUGAAAUGCGCAGAUAUCAGGAGGAACACCGGUGGCGAAGGCGGUUCUCUGGGCAUGUCCUGACGCUGAGGAGUGAAAGUGUGGGGAGCGAACAGG
rnacentral:rRNA from 1 species